rnacentral:rRNA from 1 species
UACGAAGGGGGCUAGCGUUGUUCGGAAUUACUGGGCGUAAAGCGCGUGUAGGCGGGUCUUUAAGUCAGGGGUGAAAUGCCAAGGCUCAACCUUGGAACUGCCUUUGAUACUGGAGAUCUAGAGUCCGGGAGAGGUGAGUGGAACUGCGAGUGUAGAGGUGAAAUUCGUAGAUAUUCGCAAGAACACCAGUGGCGAAGGCGGCUCACUGGCCCGGAACUGACGCUGAGACGCGAAAGCGUGGGGAGCAAACAGG